rnacentral:rRNA from 1 species
CCUACGGGAGGCAGCAGUGAGGAAUAUUGGUCAAUGGACGCAAGUCUGAACCAGCCAUGCCGCGUGCAGGAUGACGGCUCUAUGAGUUGUAAACUGCUUUUGUACGGGGGUAAACUGCGAUACGUGUGUCGUUUUGAAGGUAUCGUACGAAUAAGGAUCGGCUAAUUCCGUGCCAGCAGCCGCGGUAAUACGGAGGAUCCGAGCGUUAUCCGGAUUUAUUGGGUUUAAAGGGAGCGUAGGCGGCCUGUUAAGUGUGCGGUGAAAUCCCGCGGCUCAACCUUGGAAUUGCCGCUGAAACUGGCAGGCUUGAGUACAGUAGAGGUGGGCGGAAUUCGUGGUGUAGCGGUGAAAUGCUUAGAUAUCACGAAGAACUCCGAUUGCGAAGGCAGCUUACGGGACUGCUACUGACGCUGAGGCUCGAAAGCGUGGGUAUCAAACAGGAUUAGAUACCCCAGUAGUC